rnacentral:rRNA from 1 species
GGAGGAAAAGAAACCAACUGGGAUUACCUUAGUAACGGCGAGUGAAGCGGUAAAAGCUCAAAUCUGAAAUCUGGUACUUUCAGUGCCCGAGUUGUAAUUUGUAGAAUUUGUCUUUGAUUAGGUCCUUGUCUAUGUUCCUUGGAACAGGACGUCAUAGAGGGUGAGAAUCCCGUUUGGCGAGGAUACCUUUUCUCUGUAAGACUUUUUCGAAGAGUCGAGUUGUUUGGGAAUGCAGCUCAAAGUGGGUGGUAAAUUCCAUCUAAAGCUAAAUAUUGGCGAGAGACCGAUAGCGAACAAGUACAGUGAUGGAAAGAUGAAAAGAACUUUGAAAAGAGAGUGAAAAAGUACGUGAAAUUGUUGAAAGGGAAGGGCAUUUGAUCAGACAUGGUGUUUUUUGCAUGCACUCGCCUCUCGUGGGCUUGGGCCUCUCAAAAAUUUCACUGGGCCAACAUCAAUUCUGGCAGCAGGAUAAAUCAUUAAGAAUGUAGCUACUUCGGUAGUGUUAUAGCUUUUUGGAAUACUGUUAGCCGGGAUUGAGGACUGCGCUUCGGCAAGGAUGUUGGCAUAAUGGUUAAAUG